rnacentral:rRNA from 1 species
CCUACGGGGGGCAGCAGUGAGGAAUAUUGGUCAAUGGACGAGAGUCUGAACCAGCCAAGUAGCGUGAAGGAUGACUGCCCUAUGGGUUGUAAACUUCUGUUAUAGGGGAAUAAAAUGUUCCACGUGUGGGAUGUUGUAUGUACCAUAUGAAUAAGGAUCGGCUAACUCCGUGCCAGCAGCCGCGGUAAUACGGAGGAUCCGAGCUUUAUGCGGAUUUCUUGGGGUUAAAGGGAGCGUAGGUGGAUUGUUAAGUCAGUUGUGAAAGUUUGCGGCUCAACCGGAAAAUUGCAGUUGAAACUGGCAGUCUUGAGUACAGUAGCGGUGGGCGGACUUCGUGGUGUAGCGGUG